CCUACGGGAGGCAGCAGUGAGGAAUAUUGGUCAAUGGGCGCGAGCCUGAACCAGCCAAGUAGCGUGAAGGAUGACUGCCCUAUGGGUUGUAAACUUCUUUUAUAUGGGAAUAAAACAGGGUAUGCAUACCCUCUUGUAUGUACCAUAUGAAUAAGGAUCGGCUAACUCCGUGCCAGCAGCCGCGGUAAUACGGAGGAUCCGAGCGUUAUCCGGAUUUAUUGGGUUUAAAGGGAGCGUAGGUGGAUUGUUAAGUCAGUUGUGAAAGUUUGCGGCUCAACCGUAAAAUUGCAGUUGAAACUGGCAGUCUUGAGUACAGUAGAGGUGGGCGGAAUGCGUGGUGUAGCGGUGAAAUGCUUAGAUAUCACGAAGAACUCCGAUUGCGAAGGCAGCUCACUGGACUGCAACUGACACUGAUGCUCGAAAGUGUGGGUAUCAAACAGGAUUAGAUACCCCAGUAGUC
rnacentral:rRNA from 1 species